UCCUAACCGUGCAAAGGUAGCGUAAUCACUUGCCCUCUAAAUAAGGACCAGUAUGAACGGCUAAAUGAGGGCCAAUCUGUCUCCUUUAACCUAUCAGUGAAACUGAUCUACCAGUACAAAAGCUGGUAUAAUACUAUAAGACGAGAAGACCCUGUGGAGCUUAAAAUUAAAAUCACCCUAGACCCUCAUUUCAUGCCUAGAACCCUGAUCUAAUAAUUUUCAGUUGGGGCGACUUCGGAGUCAAACAAAACCUCCAAGUAAAAUAGACCUAAAACUUCAACAAGACCAACAAGUCAUUUUUUUGACCCAGUAAAACUGAUCAACGGACCAAGUUACCCCAGGGAUAACAGCGCAAUCUUCUUCAAGAGUCCCUAUCGACAAGAAGGUUUACGACCUCGAUGUUGGAUCAGGACACCCAAUUGGUGCAGCCGCUUAUUAAAGGUUCGUUUGUUCAACGAUUAAUAGUCCUACGUGAUCUGAG
rnacentral:rRNA from 1 species